rnacentral:ncRNA from 1 species
CAACCUCAACUCAUAUGGGACUACCCCCUGAAUUUAAGCAUAUUAAUUAGGGGAGGAAAAGAAACUAACCAGGAUUUUCUUAGUAGCGGCGAGCGAAAAGAAAUCAGUUCAGCACUAAGUCACUUUGUCUAUAUGGCAAACGUGAGAUGCAGUGUAUGGAGCGUCAAUAUUCUAGUAUGAGAAAUUAACGAUUUAAGUCCUUCUUAAAUGAGGCCAUUUACCCAUAGAGGGUGCCAGGCCCGUAUAACGUUAAUGAUUACUAGAUGAUGUUUCCAAAGAGUCGUGUUGCUUGAUAGUGCAGCACUAAGUGGGUGGUAAACUCCAUCUAAAACUAAAUAUAACCAUGAGACCGAUAGUAAACAAGUACCGUGAGGGAAAGUUGAAAAGAACUCUGAAUAGAGAGUUAAACAGUACGUGAAACUGCUUAGAGGUUAAGCCCGAUGAACCUGAAUAUCCGUUAUGGAAAAUUCAUCAUUAAAGUUGUAAUAUUUUAACAAUAUUAUAAUAAUAGUGUGCAUUUUUUCCAUAUAAGGACAUUGUAAUCUAUUAGCAUAUAACAAAUUUAUCAUAAAAUAUGACUUAUAGUUUAUUCAAAUUAUUAUGCUUGCAUUUUAACAUAGAAUAAAUGUCAUUAAUUUGAUAAAGUGUUGAUAAAUUAAAAUUAAUACAGUGCGUUAAUUUUUCGAAAUUAUAUAAUGGCAUAAUUAUCAUUGAUUUUUGUGUUUAUUAUAUGCAUUUGUAUGAUUAACAAUGCGAAAGAUUCAGGAUACCUUCGGGACCCGUCUUGAAACACGGACCAAGGAGUCUAACAUAUGUGCAAGUUAUUGGGUGAUAAACCUAAUAGCGUAAUUAACUUGACUAAUAAUGGGAUUAGUUUUUUAACUAUUUAUAGAUAAUUAACACAAUCCCUGGGCGUUCUAUAUAGUUAUGUAUAAUAAUAUUUAUAUUAUUUAUGCCUCUAACUGGAACGUACCUUGAGCAUAUAUGCUGUGACCCGAAAGAUGGUGAACUAUACUUGAUCAGGUUGAAGUCAGGGGAAACCCUGAUGGAAGACCGAAACAGUUCUGACGUGCAAAUCGAUUGUCAGAAUUGAGUAUAGGGGCGAAAGACCAAUCGAACCAUCUAGUAGCUGGUUCCUUCCGAAGUUUCCCUCAGGAUAGCUGGUGCAUUUUAAUGUUAUAUAAAAUAAUCUUAUCUGGUAAAGCGAAUGAUUAGAGGCCUUAGGGUCGAAACGAUCUUAACCUAUUCUCAAACUUUAAAUGGGUAAGAACCUUAACUUUCUUGAUAUGAAGUUUAAGGUUAUGAUAUAAUGUGCCCAGUGGGCCACUUUUGGUAAGCAGAACUGGCGCUGUGGGAUGAACCAAACGUAAUGUUACGGUGCCCAAAUUAACAACUCAUGCAGAAACCAUGAAAGGCGUUGGUUGCUUAAAACAGCAGGACGGUGAUCAUGGAAGUCGAAAUCCGCUAAGGAGUGUGUAACACUCACCUGCCGAAGCAACUAGUCCUUAAAUGGAUGGCGCUCAGUUGUAUAACUAUACAUUACGGCUAAGUAGAUGAUUUAUAUUACUUGUGA